rnacentral:rRNA from 1 species
CGUGUAGGCGGGUCUUUAAGUCAGGGGUGAAAUGCCAAGGCUCAACCUUGGAACUGCCUUUGAUACUGGGGAUCUUGAGUCCGGGAGAGGUGAGUGGAACUGCGAGUGUAGAGGUGAAAUUCGUAGAUAUUCGCAAGAACACCAGUGGCGAAGGCGGCUCACUGGCCCGGAACUGACGCUGAGACGCGAAAGCGUGGGGAGCAAACAGGAUUAGAUACCCUGGUAGUCCACGCUGUAAACGAUGGAUGCUAGCCGUUGGGGAGCUUGCUCUUCAGUGGCGCAGCUAACGCUUUAAGCAUCCCGCCUGGGGAGUACGGUCGCAAGAUUAAA